GACCCGUUACCCGGGUUGCGGACAGUGUCUGGUGGGUAGUUUGACUGGGGCGGUCUCCUCCUAAAGAGUAACGGAGGAGCACGAAGGUUGGCUAAUCCUGGUCGGACAUCAGGAGGUUAGUGCAAUGGCAUAAGCCAGCUUGACUGCGAGCGUGACGGCGCGAGCAGGUGCGAAAGCAGGUCAUAGUGAUCCGGUGGUUCUGAAUGGAAGGGCCAUCGCUCAACGGAUAAAAGGUACUCCGGGGAUAACAGGCUGAUACCGCCCAAGAGUUCAUAUCGACGGCGGUGUUUGGCACCUCGAUGUCGGCUCAUCACAUCCUGGGGCUGAAGUAGGUCCCAAGGGUAUGGCUGUUCGCCAUUUAAAGUGGUACGCGAGCUGGGUUUAGAACGUCGUGAGACAGUUCGGUCCCUAUCUGCCGUGGGCGCUGGAGAACUGAGGGGGGCUGCUCCUAGUACGAGAGGACCGGAGUGGACGCAUCACUGGUGUUCGGGUUGUCAUGCCAAUGGCACUGCCCGGUAGCUAAAUGCGGAAGAGAUAAGUGCUGAAAGCAUCUAAGCACGAAACUUGCCCCGAGAUGAGUUCUCCCUGAGACUUAGAGUCUCCUGAAGGAACGUUGAAGACGACGACGUUGAUAGGCCGGGUGUGUAAGCGCAGCGAUGCGUUGAGCUAACCGGUACUAAU
rnacentral:rRNA from 1 species